UACGUAGGGUGCGAGCGUUGUCCGGAAUUACUGGGCGUAAAGAGCUCGUAGGUGGUUUGUCACGUCGUCUGUGAAAUCCCGGGGCUUAACCUCGGGCGUGCAGGCGAUACGGGCAUAACUUGAGUGCUGUAGGGGAGACUGGAAUUCCUGGUGUAGCGGUGAAAUGCGCAGAUAUCAGGAGGAACACCAAUGGCGAAGGCAGGUCUCUGGGCAGUAACUGACGCUGAGGAGCGAAAGCAUGGGUAGCGAACAGG
rnacentral:rRNA from 1 species